rnacentral:rRNA from 1 species
AGACGGAGGGUCCUAGCGUUGUUCGGAAUAACUGGGCGUAAAGGGUACGUAGGCGGUUUGGUCAGUUAGAUGUGAAAGCCCAGGGCUCAACCUUGGAACUGCAUUUAAUACUGCCAGACUUGAGAUCGGAAGAGGAAAGCGGAAUUCCUAGUGUAGAGGUGAAAUUCGUAGAUAUUAGGAGGAACAUCAGAGGCGAAGGCGGCUUUCUGGUCCGAUACUGACGCUGAGGUACGAAAGCGUGGGGAGCAAACAGGAUUAGAUACCCUAGUAGUCC